rnacentral:rRNA from 1 species
CACGUAGUUAGCCGGGGCUUCUUAGUCAGGUACCGUCAUUUUCUUCCCUGCUGAUAGAGCUUUACAUACCGAAAUACUUCAUCGCUCACGCGGCGUCGCUGCAUCAGGGUUUCCCCCAUUGUGCAAUAUUCCCCACUGCUGCCUCCCGUAGGAGUCUGGGCCGUGUCUCAGUCCCAAUGUGGCCGGUCACCCUCUCAGGUCGGCUACUGAUCGUCGGCUUGGUGAGCCGUUACCUCACCAACUACCUAAUCAGACGCGGGCCCAUCUUACACCACCGGAGUUUUUACCUCAGAACCAUGCGGUUCCGCGGUCUUAUGCGGUAUUAGCAGUCAUUUCUAACUGUUAUCCCCCUGUGUAAGGCAGGUUGCCCACGCGUUACUCACCCGUCCGCCGCUCAGUCACAAUUAUCUUCAUCCGAAGAAUCCAAUCAAAGUGCUUCGCUCGACUUGCAUGUGUUAGGCACGCCGCCAGCGUUCAUCCUGAGCCAGGAUCAAACU